rnacentral:rRNA from 1 species
GAUGAACGCUGGCGGCGUGCCUAAUACAUGCAAGUCGAGCGAACAGACGAGGAGCUUGCUCCUCUGACGUUAGCGGCGGACGGGUGAGUAACACGUGGAUAACCUACCUAUAAGACUGGGAUAACUUCGGGAAACCGGAGCUAAUACCGGAUAAUAUAUUGAACGGCAUGGUUCAAUAGUGAAAGACGGUUUUGCUGUCACUUAUAGAUGGAUCCUCGCCGCAUUAGCUAGUUGGUACGGUAACGGCUUACCAAGGCAACGAUGCGUAGCCGACCUGAGAGGGUGAUCGGCCACACUGGAACUGAGACACGGUCCAGACUCCUACGGGAGGCAGCAGUAGGGAAUCUUCCGCAAUGGGCGAAAGCCUGACGGAGCCACGCCGCGUGAGUGAUGAAGGUCUUCGGAUCGUAAAACUCUGUUAUUAGGGAAGAACAAAUGUGUAAGUAACUAUGCACGUCUUGACGGUACCUAAUCAGAAAGCCACGGCUAACUACGUG